UCCUACGGGAGGCAGCAGUGGGGAAUAUUGCACAAUGGAGGGAACUCUGAUGCAGCGACGCCGCGUGAGCGAUGAGGGCUUUCGGGUCGUAAAGCUCUGUCCUAGGGGACGAUAAUGACGGUACCCUAGGAGGAAGCCCCGGCUAACUACGUGCCAGCAGCCGCGGUAAUA
rnacentral:rRNA from 1 species